AAGGUACUCCCUCCGUCCGGAUAUACUUGUCAUAGAAAUUGAUAAAAAUGGAUGUAUCUUAGAACUAAAAUACAUCUAGAUACAUCCAUUUCUUCGACAAGUAUUUCCGGACGGAGGGAGUACUUG
rnacentral:pre_miRNA from 1 species